rnacentral:rRNA from 1 species
GACGAACGCUGGCGGCAGGCCUAACACAUGCAAGUCGAGCGGUGCGGCGGACGGGUGAGUAAUACCUAGGAAUCUGCCUGGUAGUGGGGGAUAACGUUCGGACACGGACGCUAAUACCGCAUACUAUCAGAUGAGCCUAGGUCGGAUUAGCUAGUUGGUGAGGUAAUGUCUCACAAAGGCUACGAACCGUAACUGGUCUGAGAGGAUGAUCAGUCACACUGGAACUGAGACACGGUCCAGACUCCGACGGGAGGAAGCAGUGGGGAAUAUUGGACAAGGGGCGAAAGCCGGAUGCAGCCAUGCCGCGUGUGUGAAGAAGGUCUUCGGAUGGUAAAGCACUGUAAGUUGGGAGGCGUUACCGACAGAAAAAGCAACGGCUAACUCUGUGCCAGCAGCCGCGGUAAUAC